AAAGAUUAAGCCAUGCAUGUCUAAGUAUAAGCAACUAUACGGUGAAACUGCGAAUGGCUCAUUAAAUCAGUUAUCGUUUAUUUGAUAGUACCUUACUACUUGGAUAACCGUGGUAAUUCUAGAGCUAAUACAUGCUAAAAACCUCGACUUCGGAAGGGGUGUAUUUAUUAGAUAAAAAACCAAUGCCCUUCGGGGCUCCUUGGUGAAUCAUAAUAACUUAACGAAUCGCAUGGCCUUGCGCCGGCGAUGGUUCAUUCAAAUUUCUGCCCUAUCAACUUUCGAUGGUAGGAUAGUGGCCUACCAUGGUAUCAACGGGUAACGGGGAAUUAGGGUUCGACUCCGGAGAGGGAGCCUGAGAAACGGCUACCACAUCCAAGGAAGGCAGCAGGCGCGCAAAUUACCCAAUCCCGACACGGGGAGGUAGUGACAAUAAAUACUGAUACAGGGCUCUUUUGGGUCUUGUAAUUGGAAUGAGUACAAUUUAAAUCCCUUAACGAGGAACAAUUGGAGGGCAAGUCUGGUGCCAGCAGCCGCGGUAAUUCCAGCUCCAAUAGCGUAUAUUAAAGUUGUUGCAGUUAAAAAGCUCGUAGUUGAACCUUGGGCCUGGCUGGCCGGUCCGCCUCACCGCGUGUACUGGUCCGGCCGGGCCUUUCCUUCUGGGGAACCGCAUGCCCUUCACUGGGCGUGCCGGGGAACCAGGACUUUUACUUUGAAAAAAUUAGAGUGUUCAAAGCAGGCCUUUGCUCGAAUACAUUAGCAUGGAAUAAUAGAAUAGGACGUGUGGUUCUAUUUUGUUGGUUUCUAGGACCGCCGUAAUGAUUAAUAGGGAUAGUCGGGGGCAUCAGUAUUCAAUUGUCAGAGGUGAAAUUCUUGGAUUUAUUGAAGACUAACUACUGCGAAAGCAUUUGCCAAGGAUGUUUUCAUUAAUCAGUGAACGAAAGUUAGGGGAUCGAAGACGAUCAGAUACCGUCGUAGUCUUAACCAUAAACUAUGCCGACUAGGGAUCGGACGGUGUUAUUAUUUUGACCCGUUCGGCACCUUACGAGAAAUCAAAGUUUUUGGGUUCUGGGGGGAGUAUGGUCGCAAGGCUGAAACUU
rnacentral:rRNA from 1 species